ACUCGAGUGGCGAACGGGUGAGUAACACGUGGGUGAUCUGCCCUGCACUUCGGGGUAAGCCUGGGAAACUGGGUCUAAUACCGGAUAGGACGAUGGUUUGGAUGCCAUUGUGGAAAGUUUUUCGGUGUGGGAUGAGCUCGCGGCCUAUCAGCUUGUUGGUGGGGUAAUGGCCUACCAAGGCGUCGACGGGUAGCCGGCCUGAGAGGGUGUACGGCCACAUUGGGACUGAGAUACGGCCCAG
rnacentral:rRNA from 1 species